ensembl:misc_RNA Y_RNA Y RNA
AGCUGGUGGGAAGGUAGCGAGUUAUGUCGCUUGAUCGUUUAGUUACAGACAGAACUCCUCAUUCUACUCUUUCCCCUCUUCUCACUACUGCGCUCGGCUAGUCUUAA